rnacentral:rRNA from 1 species
UACGUAGGGGGCAAGCGUUGUCCGGAAUCAUUGGGCGUAAAGAGCUCGUAGGCGGUUUGUCGCGUCUGCUGUGAAAACUCGGGGCUUAACCCCGGGCCUGCAGUGGGUACGGGCAGACUAGAGUGCGGUAGGGGAGACUGGAAUUCCUGGUGUAGCGGUGAAAUGCGCAGAUAUCAGGAGGAACACCGGUGGCGAAGGCGGGUCUCUGGGCCGUAACUGACGCUGAGGAGCGAAAGCGUGGGGAGCGAACAUG